UACGUAGGGGGCAAGCGUUGUCCGGAUUUAUUGGGCGUAAAGGGCGCGUAGGCGGCCAGCACAAGUCAGUUGUGAAAUCUCCGGGCUUAACUCGGAAAGGUCAACUGAUACUGUGCGGCUAGAGUGCAGAAGGGGCAACUGGAAUUCUUGGUGUAGCGGUGAAAUGCGUAGAUAUCAAGAGGAACACCUGAGGUGAAGACGGGUUGCUGGGCUGACACUGACGCUGAGGCGCGAAAGCCAGGGGAGCAAACGGG
rnacentral:rRNA from 1 species